rnacentral:rRNA from 1 species
CCUACGGGAUGCAGCAGUGGGGAAUAUUGCACAAUGGGCGAACCCCUGAUGCAGCGACGCCGCGUGAGUGAAGAAGUAUUUCGGUGCGUAAAGCUCUAUCAGCAGGGAAGCAAAUGACGGUACCUGACUAAGGAGCCCCAGCUAACUAAGUGCCAGCAGCCGCGGUCAUACGUAGGGGGCAAGCGUUAUCCGGGUUUACUGGGGGUAAAUGGAGCGUAGACGGGAUCGCAAGUCUGGAGUGAAAUCCCAUGGCUUAACCAUGGAACUGCUGUGGAAACUGUGCAGCUAGAGUGCAGGAGAGGUAAGCGGAAUUCCUAGUGUAGCGGUGAAAUGCGUAGAUAUUAGGAGGAACACCAGUGGCGAAGGCGGCUUACUGGACUGUAACUGACGUUGAGGCUCGAAAGCGUGGGGAGCAAACAGGAUUAGAUACCCCAGUAGUC